rnacentral:rRNA from 1 species
CAGCCACCGCGGUAAUACCGGCGGCCCGAGUGGCGGCCACUAUUAUUGGGCCUAAAGCGUCCGUAGCCGGGCUGGUAAGUCCCCCGGGAAAUCUGGCGGCUUAACCGUCAGAAUUCCGGGGGAUACUGCCAGCCUAGGGACCGGGAGAGGCCGGGGGUAUUCCCGGGGUAGGGGUGAAAUCCUGUAAUCCCGGGAGGACCACCUGUGGCGAAGGCGCCCGGCUGGAACGGGUCCGACGGUGAGGGACGAAGGCCAGGGGAGCGAACCGGAUUAGAUACCCGGGUAGUCCUGGCUGUAAACGAUGCGGACUUUGUGUCGGACAAGCUAUGAGCUUGUCCGGUGCCGGAGGGAAACCGUUAAGUCCGCCGCCUGGGGAGUACGGCCGCAAGGCUGAAACUUAAAGGAAUUGGCGGG